rnacentral:rRNA from 1 species
ACUCCUACGGGAGGCAGCAGUGGGGAAUAUUGCACAAUGGGCGCAAGCCUGAUGCAGCCAUGCCGCGUGUAUGAAGAAGGCCUUCGGGUUGUAAAGUACUUUCAGCAGUGAGGAAGGUGGGUAUGUUAAUAGCAUAUUCAUUUGACGUUAGCUGCAGAAGAAGCACCGGCUAACUCCGUGCCAGCAGCCGCGGUAAUACGGAGGGUGCGAGCGUUAAUCGGAAUUACUGGGCGUAAAGCGCAUGCAGGUGGUUUGUUAAGUCAGAUGUGAAAGCCCGGGGCUCAACCUCGGAAUUGCAUUUGAAACUGGCAAACUAGAGUACUGUAGAGGGGGGUAGAAUUUCAGGUGUAAGCGGUGAAAAUGCGUAGAGAUACUGAAGGAAUACCGGUGGCGAAGGCGGCCCCCUGGACAGAUACUGACACUCAGAUGCGAAAGCGUGGGGAGCAAACAGGAUUAGAUACCCUGGUAAGGCUCUGC